AUUACUUUCAUCUUCUUUUUUUAAAAAGAUGCAUUUCACAUUUUUUUCCUUCUCAGGCAUUGGGUCAAACAGGGAUAUCCAGUAUAUCAUAGUGUGGUGGCUGCUCUGCUCUGAGAUAUAAGCUCUUUCUGUCCCCUGACCAAACUCUAAAUGCUUUAAGGUCAAAGACCACAAAUAACACUUUUGUUUGCCCACUCUACAGUGCUGGGCCUGAGCCUUGGACUUAGGUAAAGGAGAUCAGAAAGGUCAGGAGUUCUUGCUGAAGUCACAGGGCUAAAUGAAGGUGGAAAAGAGGGAUGGGGAGGACAGCUUUCUCCAAGAAAAUGCACCUUCUAGGUCUUUAAGAGCAAGUAGCAGUAUUCUAGCCAAGACCCUGUGGGCAGGUGGAAUACCUGUGCCCCAGCCUGGUUCUGAAGAGACUUGUGGAGCAGGGAGGAAGGGGCAAUGGCUUUCAGUUCCUGUUAAUGUGUCUAGAAGCAGCAGCUGAUUCAGCUAGAUGAUGUCAGCUUCCCAAACCUCCUGACCAGCAGCUGAGAUGGUAAAAGCAGGAAACUAGGGAGGACUCAGCUGGCUACGUCUGAACAUGCCUCUGGCAAAGCCCAAUAGUAACCCCAGUCUCUGGGGCGUCCUCCUGCAGAUGAGAACUCUUCUGACUCCUCUCAUUCGGGAGAACAGGUGGAGCAAUGGAAAGAAGCCUGGCUUUGGAGCCAGACCAAUCUGGGUCUGAAUCCAGGUUCCAUCUUGUACAAGCUGCACACCCUGGGCAUGGAACUUUAUCUCUACAAACCUGUUUCUUUAUUGGAAGAGAAACUGGGACCAACAGACCACUUGCCACGUAGGCUGGGUGGGAGAAUUGAGAAAAUACACAGAGAGUACCUGAUAUGGGGUUCUAUGAGAGCAGUGUCCCUGACUGCCUUGUUCAUCACAGCACCCCUAGCACUAAGCAUAGGGCCUGGCAUGUAGCUGAUGCUCAAUAAACAUCUUAUGAAUCACCAAAUGAAUGAAUGUACCUGGGAUGGCUAAAGGCUAACCUGACAAUGGCCCCACACCUACUCCUCUGCUUACUGUCAGUUCAAGGUCUCCCAUUUCAGAUGCUGGCGUUGGCACUGCUACCUGGGAAUCAGCAGACUGGCAGGCAGCCAGGAUGGGCAUUCAUUUCUGGCAAUGACUCAUCUGUUGGGAUACCUGGGCUGCUGAGGAAGGCCUCAGAAUCUUUCCCUGGCACUCGAGAC